rnacentral:rRNA from 1 species
GACGAACGCUGGCGGCGUGCUUAACACAUGCAAGUCGAACGGAAAGGCCCUGCUUUUGUGGGGUGCUCGAGUGGCGAACGGGUGAGUAACACGUGAGUAACCUGCCCUUGACUUUGGGAUAACUUCAGGAAACUGGGGCUAAUACCGGAUAGGAGCUCCUGCUGCAUGGUGGGGGUUGGAAAGUUUUGGCGGUUGGGGAUGGACUCGCGGCUUAUCAGCUUGUUGGUGGGGUAGUGGCUUACCAAGGCUUUGACGGGUAGCCGGCCUGAGAGGGUGACCGGCCACAUUGGGACUGAGAUACGGCCCAGACUCCUACGGGAGGCAGCAGUGGGGAAUUUUGCACAAUGGGCGGAAGCCUGAUGCAGCAACGCCGCGUGCGGGAUGACGGCCUUCGGGUUGUAAACCGCUUUCGCCUGUGACGAAGCGUGAGUGACGGUAAUGGGUAAAGAAGCACCGGCUAACUACGUG